UAAGGAAUAUUGGUCAAUGGACGCAAGUCUGAACCAGCCAUGCCGCGUGGAGGAUGAAGGCCCUCUGGGUUGUAAACUUCUUUUAUGGGGGACGAAAUCACUUAUUCUUAAGUGUCUGACGGUACCCCAGGAAUAAGCACCGGCUAACUCCGUGCCAGCAGCCGCGGUAAUACGGAGGGUGCAAGCGUUAUCCGGAUUCACUGGGUUUAAAGGGUGCGUAGGAGGGCAGGAAAGUCAGUGGUGAAAUCCUAGGGCUUAACUCUAGAACUGCCGUUGAUACUACUUGUCUUGAAUAUCGUGGAGGUGAGCGGAAUAUGUCAUGUAGCGGUGAAAUGCUUAGAUAUGACAUAGAACACCAAUUGCGAAGGCAGCUCGCUACACGAAUAUUGACUCUGAGGCA
rnacentral:rRNA from 1 species